rnacentral:rRNA from 1 species
ACGCUCGACACCUACGGGAGACAGCAGUGAGGGAUAUUGGUCAAUGGGGGAAACCCUGAACCAGCAACGCCGCGUGAGGGAUGACGGUCUUCGGAUUGUAAACCUCUGUCCUCUGUGAAGAUAAUGACGGUAGCAGAGGAGGAAGCUCCGGCUAACUACGUGCCGGCAGCCGCGGUAAUCUGAGCGGGCUGGCAAGGC